rnacentral:rRNA from 1 species
UGCGUAGGCGGAUUAAUAAGUCAGUGGUGAAAUCUUUCGGCUCAACCGAGAACCUGCCAUUGAUACUGUUAAUCUUGAGUUCGGUUGAGGUAGGCGGAAUGUGUAAUGUAGCGGUGAAAUGCUUAGAUAUUACACAGAACACCAAUUGCGUAGGCAGCUUACUAGACCGACACUGACGCUGAGGCACGAAAGCGUGGGGAGCGAACAGGAUUAGAUACCCUGGUAGUCC